GUUAGAUACAAAUUCAGAUACAACCUAGGAAGUUGUACUGAAGCAGCAACUGUGCAGGAGAGAGAGAGAGGCUAUGGCACACGUGGCGGAAUAUUUUCUUGGUUUUUACUAAGCCUCAAAUAACUGGAACUAAAAAAGAAAAGUGGCUAAGUAUCUAGAAACUGCUAGAUCACCUGAAGUUUAUCAAGUAGCUCUGCCCUCCCCCCUAAUACUGGGUUUAAAAAAAAACAAAACAAAAAACCUUCUAUAAGAUAUAUCUUCUUAAUGGUCUUUAAGAUUUUGGCAUGCUGAAUUCCAAAGUACGAUGCCCCAAAUAAUAAUGCUUCAGCAGCAACCUGUGAACAAGAACCAUCUCUCUGCUGGAAGUCUGUUUAUUUUGCUUGAAACAGAAGGAGGAAAGGCACUUUUGACUUGUGUUAGAAUUUACAACUCAAGAAGAGCGAAAUUGAUUUCUUCCCUUUCAAAGCGGUUUCCUGAUUGCAAUCACAUAAAUUAAACCGGAGCCCCGAAGAAGUUGUGGGGACCGAGUAAUAAAUCUCCAAGAAGAGAUACGGGGAAUCCUUUGAACAUCUCGAGAAUAACGCAGUAAAAUGCAAACGGGAGGAGGACAGAGCGGGACAGAUGAAGAGGGUGGCGCUCCUCCCUCCGGGCAGAGAGGCAGCCUCCUAAUGCCGCUCAUGUGCUGUAGCAAGCAAGUUCAUAUAAGGACCACGUCACAUGUCUUUAAAAAAACGAAAAGAAGAAAACCAGGUGAUGUUCUGUUUGCACAUCUCCAGAUGGAGGUCGGGAGGGCUCGCCCUGGGUGGGGUCCCAGGACUCUCUGGCUCCAGCCCGGCCAUUCUCCAUGAGAGGAGAUGAGCUUAUUUCAUGGUUGGAAAGUAUAAAGGAGCAGAUGAAUCUCUGCAAGAUUAAAACUCGAUCUUCAGGAUGGUGGGUCCUCUCACCAAACUCCGUUGGCUCACACCACAUGGUUCUCUUUGUCCU
rnacentral:lncRNA from 1 species